CCUACGGGAGGCAGCAGUAGGGAAUCUUCCACAAUGGGCGAAAGCCUGAUGGAGCAACGCCGCGUGGGUGAAUAAGGUCUUCGGAUCGUAAAACCCUUUUUUUAGAGAAGAAAGUGCGUGAGAGUAACUGUUCACGUUUCGACGGCAUCUAACAAGAAAGCCACGGCUAACUACGUGCCAGCAGCCGCAGGAAUACGGAGGUGGCAAUCUUCAUACGGAUGUAUUGGGGUUAAAGGGGACGCAGGUGGGGCUUUAAGUCUGAUGGUAAAGCCUUCGGAUUAACCCGAGUAGUGCAUGGGAAACUGGGUGACUUGAGUGCAGAAGAGGAGAGUGGAACUCCAUGUGUAGCGGUGAAAUGCGUAGAUAUAUGGAAGAACACCAGUGGCGAAAGCGGCUCUCUGGUCUGUAACUGACGCUGAGGUUCGAAAGCGUGGGUAGCAAACAGGAUUAGAUACCCUUGUAGUC
rnacentral:rRNA from 1 species